GAUGAACGCUAGCGGCAGGCUUAACACAUGCAAGUCGAGGGGCAGCACAGGUAGCAAUACUGGGUGGCGACCGGCAAACGGGUGCGGAACACGUACGCAACUUACCCUAAACAGAUGAAUAGCCCUCGGAAACGGGGAUUAAUACAUCGUAAACUAUAGGAGUGGCAUCAUUUUUAUAGAAUAGCUGAGGCGGUUUAGGAUGGGCGUGCGUCCCAUUAGCUAGUUGGUAAGGUAACGGCUUACCAAGGCGACGAUGGGUAACUGGUGUGAGAGCACGACCAGUCACACGGGCACUGAGACACGGGCCCGACUCCUACGGGAGGCAGCAGUGAGGAAUAUUGGUCAAUGGACGCAAGUCUGAACCAGCCAUGCCGCGUGAAGGAUGAAGGCGUUCUGCGUUGUAAACUUCUUUUAUCAGGGAAGAAACCUCAGUAUUCUUAUUGAGCCGACGGUACCUGAUGAAUAAGCACUGGCUAACUCCGUGCCAGCCGCCGCCGUAACAC
rnacentral:rRNA from 1 species